UACGUAGGGUGCGAGCGUUGUCCGGAAUUAUUGGGCGUAAAGGGCUCGUAGGCGGUUUGUCGCGUCGGGAGUGAAAACACCGGGCUUAACUCGGUGCUUGCUUUCGAUACGGGCAGACUAGAGGUAUGCAGGGGAGAACGGAAUUCCUGGUGUAGCGGUGAAAUGCGCAGAUAUCAGGAGGAACACCGGUGGCGAAGGCGGUUCUCUGGGCAUUACCUGACGCUGAGGAGCGAAAGUGUGGGGAGCGAGCAGG
rnacentral:rRNA from 1 species